rnacentral:rRNA from 1 species
GGCCUAACACAUGCAAGUCGAGCGGAACGACACUAACAAUCCUUCGGGUGCGUUAAUGGGCGUCGAGCGGCGGACGGGUGAGUAAUGCCUAGGAAAUUGCCUUGAUGUGGGGGAUAACCAUUGGAAACGAUGGCUAAUACCGCAUAAUGCCUACGGGCCAAAGAGGGGGACCUUCGGGCCUCUCGCGUCAAGAUAUGCCUAGGUGGGAUUAGCUAGUUGGUGAGGUAAUGGCUCACCAAGGCGACGAUCCCUAGCUGGUCUGAGAGGAUGAUCAGCCACACUGGAACUGAGACACGGUCCAGACUCCUACGGGAGGCAGCAGUGGGGAAUAUUGCACAAUGGGCGAAAGCCUGAUGCAGCCAUGCCGCGUGUAUGAAGAAGGCCUUCGGGUUGUAAAGUACUUUCAGUUGUGAGGAAGGGGGUAGCGUUAAUAGCGCUAUCUCUUGACGUUAGCAACAGAAGAAGCACCGGCUAACUCCGUGCCAGCAGCCGCGGUAAUACGGAGGGUGCGAGCGUUAAUCGGAAUUACUGGGCGUAAAGCGCAUGCAGGUGGUUCAUUAAGUCAGAUGUGAAAGCCCGGGGCUCAACCUCGGAACUGCAUUUGAAACUGGUGAACUAGAGUACUGUAGAGGGGGGUAGAAUUUCAGGUGUAGCGGUGAAAUGCGUAGAGAUCUGAAGGAAUACCAGUGGCCAAGGCGGCCCCCC